rnacentral:rRNA from 1 species
UGUCUCAGUUCGGAUUGGAGUCUGNAACCCGACUCCAUGAAGCUGGAUUCGCUAGUAAUCGCGCAUCAGCCACGGCGCGGUGAAUACGUUCCCGGGCCUUGUACACCCCGCCCGUCAAGCCAUGGAAGCCGGGGGUGCCUGAAGUGCGCUGCCGCAAGGAGCGCCCUAGGGUAAAACCGGUGACUGGGGCUAAGUCGUAACAAGGUACC